rnacentral:rRNA from 1 species
AUAAUUUUUAUUAUAAAUAGAUUUAUUUUACAACUUUUGUUAGAAAUAUUUAUUGUGUUUUAGUAUAUUAAAAUAAUUUUAUUAAUUUAGCUGAAAAGGUAGCUAUAAUUAUAUUCAAUAAAGUAAAAUUUUAUUUGUACCUUUUGUAUCAGGGUAUAUUAAUUGAUUUUAUAGAUUAUAUAUUUCCCGAAAAAGAAUGAUUUAAGUUAUAUUGUUAAUUACUGUAGUAUAAGCAUUAAUAAAUUUAACUUGGAAAUGAAAUUUUAACGAAUUUUUUGAUAUCUGGUUUUUCAGGAAUUAAAUUUAAUUUAGAAUAACUAUUUAUAUGUAAAGUAAUUACAUUCUUGUUAUUUAAUUAUGAAGGGGAUAAGCUCUUUAUGACCACUAUAAAUUUAAUGUAUGUAUGUAUAUAGUAGGCUUAAAACCAGCCAUUUUAUGAUUUAGUUAAAUUUCAUUAUUUAUUAUAUUAUAUUAAAUUAUUUUUAGUUAGCUACUGAGAAGUAUUCUAUAAUUAAUUAUUUUAAUUAUAAUGAUUUAAUUAGUAAAAUAUUUAAUUUAUAAUUAUGAAUUCAGCAAAUAUAAUUUCCACCUGUUUAUCAAAAACAUGUCUUUUAGAGAAAAAUUGAAAGUCUAGUCUGCCCAAUGAUUAUUGAAUGGCCGCGGUAAUCUGACCGUGCAAAGGUAGCAUAAUAAUUAGUCUUUUAAUUGAAGGCUUGUAUGAAUGAUUGGAUGAGAAAUCUUCUUUAUUAAUAUAAAUGUCUUAACUUAACUUUUAAGUUAAAAGGCUUAAAUGUUUGUGUGGGACGAGAAGACCCUAUAGAGUUUUAGAAAUUUAUAAAUCUACUAAUUUUAGUUUAUAUUUUUAGUUGGAUUUAUAAAUUUCUUAUAUUGGGGUGAUAUUAAAAUAUUAAAAACUUUUAAUUAAUUAUUCAUUAAUUAAUGUUAUAUUGAUCCUAGACUAAAGAAUAAAAGAUCAAAUUACCUUAGGGAUAACAGCGUAAUUAAAUUGAAGAGUUCUAAUCGAUAAUUUAGUUUGCGACCUCGAUGUUGGAUUAAGAAAAGUUCUUGGGGCAAAUUUCAAGAAAUACUAGGUCUGUUCGACCUUUAAAUUCUUACAUGAUCUGAGUUCAGACCGGCGUGAGCCAGGUUGGUUUCUAUCUACACUUAUUUUUCUGAUAUUAGUACGAAAGGACCAUAUCAGAUAAUUUAAUUAC